rnacentral:rRNA from 1 species
GACAUGUACGGAAUCCUUAGAGAUAGAGGAGUGCUCGAAAGAGAACCGUAACACAGGUGCUGCAUGGCUGUCGUCAGCUCGUGUCGUGAGAUGUUGGGUUAAGUCCCGCAACGAGCGCAACCCUUGUCAUUAGUUGCUACAUUCAGUUGGGCACUCUAAUGAGACUGCCGGUGACAAACCGGAGGAAGGUGGGGAUGACGUCAAGUCCUCAUGGCCCUUAUAGGUGGGGCUACACACGUCAUACAAUGGAUGGUACAAAGGGUCGCCAACCCGCGAGGGGGAGCCAAUCCCAUAAAGCCAUUCGUAGUCCGGAUCGCAGUCUGCAACUCGACUGCGUGAAGUCGGAAUCGCUAGUAAUCGUGGAUCAGAAUGUCACGGUGAAUACGUUCCCGGGUCUU